UACGGAGGAUCCGAGCGUUAUCCGGAUUUAUUGGGUUUAAAGGGUGCGUAGGUGGAUUGGUAAGUCAGUGGUGAAAGUUUGCAGCUUGACUGUAAAAAUGCCGUUGAAACUGUCGGACUUGAGUGUAAAUGAGGUAGGCGGAAUGCGUGGUGUAGCGGUGAAAUGCAUAGAUAUCACGCAGAACUCCGAUUGCGAAGGCAGCUUACUAAGCUACAACUGACACUGAAGCACGAAAGCGUGGGGAUCAAACAGGAUUAGAUA
rnacentral:rRNA from 1 species